GGGUGAGUAACACGUGGAUAACCUACCUAUAAGACUGGGAUAACUUCGGGAAACCGGAGCUAAUACCAGAUAAUAUAUUGAACCGCAUGGUUCAAUAGUGAAAGACGGUUUUGCUGUCACUUAUAGAUGGAUCCGCGCCGCAUUAGCUAGUUGGUAAGGUAACGGCUUACCAAGGCAACGAUGCGUAGCCGACCUGAGAGGGUGAUCGGCCACACUGGAACUGAGACACGGUCCAG
rnacentral:rRNA from 1 species